AUACUUAUCUGGCUGGGGAGAUGCCAUGAGCAAGCAGGUGGUUUUCCCAGGGCGAGGCUCAUCCAUUGAACUUGGGAUGUGCUGACCCCUACGAUUUCCCCAAAUGUGGGAAAUUUGACUGCAUAAUUUGUGCUAGUGGGGAACUGCAUCCAUGCUCUCUCCUG